rnacentral:tRNA from 1 species
GACCGGAUGUCGAAGUGGAAACGAAGGUGUCUGCAAAACACCCAUGCGCGGGUUCGAUUCCCGCUCCGGUCU